UACGUAGGAUGCAAGCGUUGUCCGGAAUUAUUGGGCGUAAAGAGCGCGCAGGCGGUAUGACAAGUCAGAUGUGAAAGAGGCCGGCUUAACCGGCAAGGGUCAUUUGAAACUGUCAGACUAGAGUGCAGCAGAGGAUAGUGGAAUUCCCGGUGUAGUGGUGAAAUGCGUAGAUAUCGGGAGGAACACCAGUGGCGAAGGCGACUAUCUGGGCUGCAACUGACGCUGAGGCGCGAAGGCUAGGGUAGCAAACUGG
rnacentral:rRNA from 1 species